CCCGUGAGGGCCGGGAUCCUCCUACCUCCAACACCUCUCACCCAGGCUCCCAGAGCCUCCCCCCUCCCCUUCCCCCCCAAUGUCCAGGGCUCCUCGGCCCCUGUCCCCACACCAGCCUAGGAGCUCAUCGCCAUAUUAAGAAAGGAAAAAGCUGGAGCUAAAAAUAAGACCAGAUGAGUCGGAGGUCAAGUCUGUUUCUUUGAUCCUGUGGAGGAAGUCAGGGGGAGUACAAAUGCAAUCCAGGCUGCAGGAAAGAGACCCCCUGCACUUCCCUUUAAAGAACCAAGACCAAGGAUGAGGUCAUUCUCUGAAUAAAAGAUGGAGCCGAGUCCAGGACUGGCGCCCUGGCUCAGCUCCAGCCAGUUUCCUUUGCUUCACUCAACACUCCUAACUGGAGUAUGCAGAGGAAGGACGGGGCGUGGGGCGUGAAGUGCUGGCCCACAUCCAUCCUUGGAGAUGCGGAUCUGGGGCUUCUCUGCCCACAGACCCGAGAGGAGAAGGACAAAGUCGUUUGGCUGCUGCCUCCUGCUUGUACUCUCUACUCUGAUCCUACGGGACUGGUUUUCUAGGGCACAGUGGGAAGAAGGAUUCCCCUGGCUGAAUGAUUCCAAGGAGAGCGCAUUGUGACUAUUCAUUCCUACGUCUUUGACAAGACAAAAAGGAUCAGGUAUCAACGGUAGGGGAAAAAAUUAACACUGGGAAACAUGAAGAGGUGGGGCCCUGUGCCCUGAACCAAGGAUGCUGCUUAAUUCUGUGCACUGAGAGCCAAAGCAGAGCUGGUGCGGAGGGGCUCUAACUUCCUGGAUCCCAGCUUGGGGCUGAGGGCGGAGUGGAUGGGCUCAGCUCUGGGUACCUUCAAGGACCCUCUUCACGGCCCUCCAGGGCUCAUGCACAGUCUACGAUUUCCACCAGCUUUUCUCAGCAUUUCUCUCUCUCUGUAUGCUGUUCGGCACAGCCAACCCUCUCCUCUAAAAGAAGCCUGAGAGUGAACCGAUCUACAGGGUAAAGUGGACCAGCUCACAGAGCAAAAGCCAGCGAGUGGGUGAAGAGGAAGGAAGAGCUGCCGCCAAGGGUGGGCAGGAGAGAAAGGCUCCCGCGGACUCCUCACCUGCCUGAGACGCAGCAAGUGCUGAGCCCAGGCUCGGAGGCCAGGCUUUGGGGAUCAUCCAUCACCUGUGUGGAGCUGGGGCAUGAGGGGGCGGGUGCUUUGCCUAGAGUAAAGGCUACAGGGAUCCAUUCAGCGUUGUUCCAGCCUCUGUUUCAAGGUUACGCCAGAGAAAACAGCUGAGGGCUGGGCUGGGGUCGAGAUGCCCUAAUGACUGGGGCUACGGGAACACCAAUCCCUUCCUCAGAGGCGGGUCAGUGGCCUGACUUUCACCACUCACCACGUGGCCCCUUCCAAGUCAUUUAACCUCUCUAGACCUCAGGUUUUUCAUGAUGAAAUAAGGUCUAGCACGAAAAGCCUAUGAGUCUGUAAGUUGAUCUGAGGAACUGAGUGGGCGCUGUGGCCCCUCUGUAAGGUGUGGCUCCCCUGCUCCUCUCUCACCUCCUCUGUUUCUCUGAUCCCAGGACUUGUCCUGUCCUUGCUCUCUGCUGCGUUGGAGAGUGACUUUGAGGGGGUAGCCUUCAAGGGGCAAGGAUGCUUGAUUCUGAUCCCUUCCCAGCCUCGACUCUGGUCCCUGAAAGACUUCCCCUGCUUGGCUCCCAUGAAGAUCUAGGGAGAGAGCAUCACAGUAAUCCCCAUUCUCCAAAAAUCAGAUGCGACACAUCCAGGAGCUAAGGGCUGUUGCAAACAUUUACUCUCUUGACUGGCUACUGAGCCCCCUGCUGGGCUCCAGUCAGAUGCAGGCAGGGCUCCCCUUAACCCACCACAUCUCCUAUCCAUGGUGCCCUCAACCCAGCCCUAGGAUCACCUGUCUCUCUCAUCCAAGGUUCUUCCUCCUGGCAUCUCCCUGCCCCAACUAAUGUGCACUCUCAGAUGUUUUCCCAAACUCAUUACCCCAACCCUCCCCCACCUGGCGCUCAGGACACCCUGAUGUCAUGUGAAGAUCUUCCUCUGUUGAGUUUAGUAGUAGGUCUCCUUCUCCAGCCAGCCUGUGGAAGAGAAGAGACCAGAGUGAACUGGGGAAGGCAUCGAGGGGAGAAAAACAGAAGGGUGAGCCCGGACAAGGUGGGAGGCUUGAGGGUAGAAGGCAGGGCCCUGAGGAUUGGAACGAGCAGCGUGCUGGGGUCAAGGACCAGAGGGCAGGGUCCAGGCACAGCACAGGCUGGGCAGUGAGCUGGGGAGAAGGGCAGUGGGCCUGGAGGAGCCAGGGGGAAUGGGGGAGCUGGUCAGGAGGCUGGCGAACUCUCAGGCCAGGGUGCAGGGGACCCUCACCGCCAGGAUGACGACGGAUGAUGAGUUUUCUGAUUUCAUCAUAGACAAGGAUGAGGAUGCUGUAAGGAGUGGCACAGAGCCACCAGGUUAUCCUGAAGAGAGCAAAAGCUGGUCAGCAGGAGAGGAGAUAGAGGGGUCAGUGAAAGGCAGGUGCAGAGAACAGCGCCCGGGAAUCGAGUGUUUCGUUUGUUGUGUGGGAGGUUGAUCCCUAACUUUGAGGAGGUCAGAGCCUGGGGAGUGAGGGCGGAGGGGCCCAAGACAGGAGCAUAAAAAGCCAGUGAGAACAGAAAGGGAUACAUGCCAUAUUAGAGGGACAUACGGUGUUCACAGAGAUUGUCUACCAGCUUUUGUGGAGUCGCUGAGGGAGACUUCCUUUGCUUUCUGGGUUCUCUAGACCUUGCACCCACAAACUCCAAGCAGGAUGGGUCUGAGACUAGAUGUGGGGUAUAUCUUGCCAGGGAAUAUAUACACUCUUCCAUAUUGCAAAGAUGGGGAAAUCUUUUUCUUCCUGAAUCUCUUCUAUAGACCAGGAAGAUGGACUCUGGGGAGGGGUUGAAUCAGGACCACAUUUGUCCCUUGGAUGAUAGAGAGAUGGCAUAGAGCAGCAUUGUCCAAUAGAAAUACACUGUGAGCCUCAUGUGAUAGUUAAUAUUUUCUAGUAGCCACAUGAAAAUAAGUAAAAAGAAACAAGUGCAAUUAAUUUUAAUAUUUUAUUUAACCCCAACUAUCCAAAAUAUUAUUGUUUCAACAUGUAAUCAAUAUAAACAUAAUUAAUGAGUUAUUUUACAUUCUUCUUUUUAUCCCGAGUCCUCGAAAUCCAGUGAGCAUUUUACACUGACAGUGUAUCUCA